rnacentral:rRNA from 1 species
CCUACUGCUAUCGGGGUGGGACUAAGACAUGCUAGUCGAGCGUCUUCAGGCUAUGUUGAGGGCGCGGCGUACGGCUCAGUAACACGUGGCCAACCUACCCUUAGGACGGAGACAACCCCGGGAAACUGGGGCUAAUCCCCGAUAGGUGAGGACGCCUGGAAUGGUCUCUCACCCAAAGGACGUUGAAGCCAUGCUUUUCAACGUCGCCUAAGGAUGGGGCCGCGCCCGAUCAGGUUGUUGGUGAGGUAACGGCUCACCAAGCCUAUAACCGGUACGGGCCGUGAGAGCGGUAGCCCGGAGAUGGGCACUGAGACAAGGGCCCAGGCCCUACGGGGCGCAGCAGUCGCGAAAACUCCGCAAUGCGCGAAAGCGUGACGGGGCUACCCCGAGUGCCGUCCGCUGAGGAUGGCUUUUGCCCGGUGUAAUGAGCCGGGAGAAUAAGGAGAGGGCAAGUCUGGUGUCAGCCGCCGCGGUAAUACCAGCUCUUCGAGUGGUAGGGAUGAUUAUUGGGCUUAAAGCGUCCGUAGCCGGCUUAACAAGUCUCCUGUUAAAUUCAGCGACCUAAUCGUUGAGCCGCGGGAGAUACUGUUAGGCUAGGAGGCGGGAGAGGCCAACGGUAUUCUCGGGGUAGGGGUGAAAUCCUAUAAUCCCGGGAGGACCACCAGUGGCGAAGGCUGUCGGCUAGAACGCGCUCGACGGUGA